AUACCGUGAUAAGGGCAUCUACUUAGUAACUCCUUGAUUCUUUUCCAGGCCUCAUAUAAGGACUCAUGGUCCAAUUUCUGAAAAGUCGUAAUCUCAUUCUGCAACU
rfam:Gossypium arboreum cultivar AKA8401 contig_46370_3, whole genome shotgun sequence.